rnacentral:rRNA from 1 species
UACGUAGGUGACCAGCGUUGUCCGGAUUUCCUGGGCGUAAAGAGCGCGCAGGCGGUCGUUCAAGUCGAGUGUGAAAGCCCCCGGCUCAACUGGGGAGGGUCAUUCGAUACUGAUCGACUCGAAGGCAGGAGAGGGAAGUGGAAUUCCCGGUGUAGUGGUGAAAUGCGUAGAGAUCUGGAGGAAUACCAGAGGCGAAGGCGGCUUGCUGGGGUGGAAUUGACGCUCAGACACGAAAGCAUGGGGAGCGAACGGG